UACGGAGGGAGCUAGCGUUGUUCGGAAUUACUGGGCGUAAAGCGCACGUAGGCGGCUUUGUAAGUUAGAGGUGAAAGCCCGGGGCUCAACUCCGGAACUGCCUUUAAGACUGCAUCGCUUGAAUCCAGGAGAGGUGAGUGGAAUUCCGAGUGUAGAGGUGAAAUUCGUAGAUAUUCGGAAGAACACCAGUGGCGAAGGCGGCUCUCUAGUACGGUACUGACGCUGAGACGCGAAAGCGUGGGGAGCGAACAGG
rnacentral:rRNA from 1 species